CGCAUCUGUGCAUGCAGCAUAUCAAUAAGCGGAGGAAAAGAAACUAACAAGGAUUCCCUUAGUAACGGCGAGUGAAGCGGGAAGAGCUCAAAUUUGAAAUCUUCAAGGGUUCUACCUUUACGAAUUGUAGUUUAAAGAAGUGUUUUCUGUUAGAUGAGUAGCAAAAGUUCCUUGGAAUAGGGACAUCAUAGAGGGUGAGAAUCCCGUAUUUGGUUAUUCAUUCUAACUUUGUGAUACACUUUCAAAGAGUCGGAUUGUUUGGGAAUGCAGUCCAAAAUGGGUGGUAAGUUUCAUCUAAAGCUAAAUAUUGGCGAGAGACCGAUAGCGAACAAGUACCGUGAGGGAAAGAUGAAAAGAACUUUGUAAAGAGAGUUAAACAGUACGUGAAAUUGUCAAAAGGGAAGCGUUUGACACCAGUGUUGUUUUUCUGAAAAUCAAUUAAAGAACUGUUUAUGCUAAGCUGUUUAGACUUUAUCAGCUAUCUGCUUAGUUUUGAGCUUUUCUUUAAUGCACUUUUCAGUUAACAAGUCAACAUCAAUUUCUUUUGCUGUAAAAAAGCUUGAGGAAGGUGGCUUGAGAUUCGUCUUAAGUGUUUAUAGCCUCUUGCCUAUGCAGUCGGAGAGAUUGAGGUCUGCAGCGUAGAUCCUUCGGGGCUAAAUGCAUUUGUGCUAAGUUAUAGCAUUUUAUAGACAACUUGUUGACUAUGAUUUGUCUUGUAGCUUACUCGCUUAUGUUAUUUUACCUACGCUUAGGAUGUUGAGCGCAUGUCUCUCUCU
rnacentral:rRNA from 1 species